AGAGUUUGAUCAUGGCUCAGAACGAACGCUGGCGGCGUGGAUAAGACAUGCAAGUCGGACGAGAUUUCGUCCUGUAGCAAUACGGGAAGAAGUCUAGUGGCGAACGGGUGCUUAACACGUGGGCAAUCUGUCUUAAAGUGGGGGAUAGCUCGGCGAAAGCCGAAUUAAUACCGCAUGUGAUUAGAGUGGACAUCCAUUCAAGAUUAAAGUCGGGGCAACCUGACGCUUUUUGAGGAGCCCGCGGCCUAUCAGCUAGUUGGUGAGGUAACAGCUCACCAAGGCUUUGACGGGUAGCUGGUCUGAGAGGACGACCAGCCACACUGGGACUGAGACACGGCCCAGACACCUACGGGUGGCAGCAGUCGAGAAUUUUUCUCAAUGGGGGAAACCCUGAAGGAGCGACGCCGCGUGGAGGAUGAAGGUCUUCGGAUUGUAAACUCCUGUCAUUGGGGAACAAUGCGUGACGGUUAACUGCCGUCGCGUUGAUAGUACCCGAAGAGGAAGAGACGGCUAACUCUGUGCCAGCAGCCGCGGUAAUACAGAGGUCUCAAGCGUUGUUCGGAUUCAUUGGGCGUAAAGGGUGCGUAGGCGGCGCGGUAAGUCGGGUGUGAAAUCUCGGAGCUUAACUCCGAAACUGCAUUCGAUACUGCCGUGCUCGAGGACUGGAGAGGAGACUGGAAUUUACGGUGUAGCGGUGAAAUGCGUAGAUAUCGUAAGGAAGACCAGUGGCGAAGGCGGGUCUCUGGACAGUUCCUGACGCUGAGGCACGAAAGUCACGGGAGCAAACGGGAUUAGAUACCCCGGUAGUCCUGACAGUAAACGGUGCACGUUUGGUGUGGGAGGAUUCGACCCCUUCUGCGCCGGAGCUAACGCGUUAAACGUGCCGCCUGGGGAGUACGGUCGCAGAUUAAAACUCAAAGAAAUUGACGGGGCCCGCACAAGCGGGGGAGUAUG
rnacentral:rRNA from 1 species